AGAGAUGAAACCAGGGCAGGCACCGGAAAGAGGGGGACUUGGGAGCCCACUGUUAACAGAUGCUGGGGAAGACUAUCUCCCGGCUCCCAGGCAGGCCAUCGCUCACUGGAUCCACUGCUCUGCCUGGUAUCCAGGCAUCAUCACCUUGGCAAGUUGCUGGAUGCAGAUGGCUUGCAGACAUGUCCCCUGCACAGCCUUUUUGGCAGCUGCUGAUGGGACUCUAGAGCUGGGACUAGAGAUCCCCCAGAUCGCGCAGCAAGCCGUGCGAGCCCUUCCCUGCCGUGGUUAAUUUUCACUUUUCCACAAGGACGCGCCCUCGGAGGAGACCAGCCGCGGAGCAGCGCCUGCUGGGGACCACAUGCCUCCCCAAGGGCGGGUGCUCUGCUUUGAGCCCUGAAGAAGCCAGGCUGCGAGCAUGUCGCCACCGCAGCCGAUCCAGAUGCCGCGGGCCUCCGGGAGGCUGUGCGCGUGGGCCGGCCUCGCGUGCCGGGAGCCCCCUGCCCACAUGAAAGCGCGCGGCGGCUUCCCGGGGCGCCCGCACCGCCAGCGCCAAAGCCGCGCCCCCGCCCGCAGCCACGCGCUGGAGCGGGGCGCACAAAGGAAAUGGCAAGGGCGUGAGUCACCAGGAGGCUCGGCGCUCCCCCGCCCUCCCCGGGCUGCAGACCCACAAGGAGACCUUUGUGCCGCCCUCUGGAGGACAACCGGCACCCGCUGCGGGGAGGCAGGCAUUUCAGGGCGCCGAGUAAUGCUGGGGAGACAGGAGGAGGCUCUACAAGAGGAGGGAGCGACUUUUGUGACCCACAAGUCUGCAACGCCUGCGCCCAGAUCACCCUGUGCGCAGGCUCAGAGAAGCUAGUCAUCUUGCCCCCUCCCACAGACCCACCUUGACUUUGUUUUGCCGGGUUGUCUUCUUACCAUGGUGUGAGAGACUUACUUUUCCUGUGCCGUUCCGAAUUGAGAUUGAGAGGUGCUAAAACUAUGUUCCAUAGUGGAUGGAGGGUUGGACGGAAUAAGUCAUUUGUACAGAUUGAACUAUUAGGAGCUCGUCCAGUGUCUCCAGUUUUCAAGCAAAAGAAAUGUAAGCUCAGAGGGACAUACUCUUCCUGGCUUGGUGUAUUUUUACUGUGUGGCCUUUGGGUGGUUCAGGGAACACCCCUCGGCCUGACUGACAAGAAAGGUUAGGUUAGUGGAAACCUGCAAGCACAGAUAGGUAACACCCCAGGGUACUCACUAGGACCCAUAAAAGAAAUCAGAGGAGCAGCAGCCAGGGCUCCAAGCAUUAGGACAGGUCACAAUUACAGGCAUGAGAGGGAGGUAAGCGUAAGCUUUUGUUGGCCAUGAAUGUUUAAUCUACUUGGCCCCAGGAAGGGAUUGUUCCAGACAAAGGUGAUUGGGAAGUCUGGGUCCUCUAGGACACAGUGUUGGUAACUGACUGGUCAUGGGCCAUGUGACAGAAACUUAAUAAAAGCCUACAGACCCAGGUA